rnacentral:tRNA from 1 species
GAGUAGUUAACCAAGUGGCUGACGGUACCUGGCUGUAAACCAGGCGAGGUGAAAUACCCUCCGCGGUGGUUCGAAUCCAUCACUACUCACCA